AGCUCUUUUAGCGUAUAUUAAUUCUGUUGCAGUUGAAAGGCUCGUAGUUGAGAGAAAAGAGUAGAGGAAGAUAAACAGUAGUCGAGAAGAUUAUUGUUUGUAUUCUUUACUGUUUAAAUUAACGAGUAGUAAUUUACUACUCUUUAAACGAUGAAAAAAUUAGAGUGUUCAAAACAGGGAAAAAAAAACUAAGGUUACCUAUUGAAUAUUGUUUCAUUGGAUUUUUGAAUAAGGCCAUUCACGCAUGGUUUUUGAUAGUUCUUUAAGCAAAGCGUAAAGUAGUGGCAAUGAUAAAGAAAAGCCAUUGGUGUCCUUUGUACUCUGCAGUAAGAAGUGAAAUUUAGUGAUUUGCAGAUGACAAACAAAUGCGAAAGCAUUGGACAAGAGGGUGUUUAUUAAU
rnacentral:rRNA from 1 species